rnacentral:rRNA from 1 species
AAUGCUUAGAUAUCACGAAGNACUCCAAUUGCGAAGGCAGCUUACUAGGCUACAACUGACGCUGAAGCACGAAAGCGUGGGGAUCAAACAGGAUUAGAUACCCUGGUAGNCCACGCCGUAAACGAUGAAUGCUAGCUGUNAGCGAUAUACUGUUAGCGGCACAGAGAAAUCGUUAAGCAUUCCACCUGGGGAGUACGCCGGCAACGGUGAAACUCAAAGGAAUUGACGGGGGCCCGCACAAGCGGAGGAACAUGUGGUUUAAUUCGAUGAUACGCGAGGAACCUUACCUGGGCUUAAAUUGCAGUGGAAUAACGUGGAAACAUGUUAGCCUUCGGGCCGCUGUGAAGGUGCUGCAUGGUUGUCGUCAGCUCGUGCCGUGAGGUGUCGGCUUAAGUGCCAUAACGAGCGCAACCCUCAUCGAUAGUUACUAACAGGUUAAGCUGAGGACUCUAUCGAGACUGCCGACGUAAGUCGUGAGGAAGGUGGGGAUGACGUCAAAUCAGCACGGCCCUUACGUCCAGGGCUACACACGUGUUACAAUGGGGGGUACAAAGGGCAGCUACCUGGCGACAGGAUGCUAAUCUCAAAAACCUCUCUCAGUUCGGAUUGGAGUCUGCAACCCGACUCCAUGAAGCUGGAUUCGCUAGUAAUCGCGCAUCAGCCACGGCGCGGUGAAUACGUUCCCGGGCCUUGUACACACCGUCCGUCAAGCCAUGGGAGCCGGGGGGACCUGAAGUAUGCAACCGUAAGGAGCGUCCUAGGGUAAAACUGGUGACUGGGGCUAAGUCGUAACAGGUAGCCGU